rnacentral:lncRNA from 1 species
GCCAGGCUAAUUUUGUAUUUUUUAGUAGAGAUGGGGUUUCUCCAUGUUGGUCAGGCUGGUCUUGAACUCCUGACCUCAGGUGGUCCUCCUGCCUCCGCCUCCCAAAGUGCUGGGAUUACAGGCGUGAACCACUGCGCCCGGCCAUAUAUAUAUUUUUGAGACAAGGUCUUGCUCUGUCGCUCAGGCUGGAGUGCAGUGUUGUGAUCAUAGCUCACUGCAGCCUCAGCCUCCUGAGCUCAAGUAAUCCUACCACUUCAGCCUCCUGAGUAGCUCGGACUACAGGCCCAAAUCAUUUAUUUAUUUAUUUUGUAGAGAUAGGGUCUUGUCACGUUGUCCAGGCUGGUCUUGAACUCCUGGCCUCAAGCAAUCUUCCCACCUCAGCCUCCCAAAGUGCUGAGACUACAGGUGUGAGCCAUGAUUGCCAGUCCACGUCUUAGUUUUUAAUCUCCCCUGCAUGGCUGAGGGCAGAGGCCAGCCAGGAGCAUCUGAGAGACCCAAAUUUGCAUCCCACCAUGGCCAGUUAGUAGUUGUGUGACCUCUGGUGAUGGCAUCACUUUGCUGAGCCUGCUCUGAGGGUGACUGUGUGGCCUAAAGGAUAGAGGGCACAGAGUUCCCACUCCAGAAGCGACACAGCACAUCCCUGCCGCCCCAGGGCCCUGACGGCCUUGUGGGCUGGCAAUGCCCAGUCGCCUCUCUCCUGGGUCUUUGGUGGGCUGCAGGGAGCAGUGGGAGCCUGGAGUCCCUGGUGCUGAGGUCCAUGAGUCCCACCUGCCUGUCCCUCUCUCCCUGUCUGCCUGACCACCGUUCCCAGGUGGGUUUGCAAGCACAUCAAGAAGCCCAUCCGCUCCACCGUCCUCAGCCUGGACUGGCACCCCAACAAUGUGCUGCUG